rnacentral:tRNA from 1 species
CACUGAGAAGCUUAACCGGACGAAGCAUUAGCCUUUUAAGCUAAAGAAUGGUGUUUUCCAAUCACCCUCCGUGA